GUUGCUUCUUACUGGUGAACUCUCUCUGAUAACUUAAUGGGGAAUGUUCAUGUUUCCGAAGCAUAAAUUAAUAAAUCUUUGCCAGUUUCUAACAGCGCUGUGUAUUCUUUUCUUGCGCAGUAGCUACCUGUCUCCUGGUAUAUUU